GCCGGGCACAGUGGCUCAUACCUGUAAUCCCAGCCCUUUGGGAGGCUGAGGCAGGUGGAUCACCUGAGGUCAGGAGUUCGAGACCAGCCUGGACAACAUGGUGAAACCCCGUCUCUACUAAAAAUACAAAAAUUAGUCGGGCGCAGUGGCUAAUGCCUGUAAUCCCAGCACUUUGGGACGCCGAGGCGGGUGGAUCACCUGAGGUCAGGAGUUCGAGACCAGCCUGGCCAACAUGGUGAAACCCUGUCUCU
rnacentral:sRNA from 1 species